rnacentral:tRNA from 1 species
UCCUAUAUCUUAGGUGGUAAGGAAUCUGCCUGCAGUGCAGGAGGCCCAGGUUUGAUUCCUGGAUCAGGAA